rnacentral:rRNA from 1 species
UGGGGAAUGUUGGACAAUGGGCGCAAGCCUGAUCCAGCCAUGCCGCGUGUGUGAAGAAGGCCUUUUGGUUGUAAAGCACUUUAAGCGAGGAGGAGGCUACUUGGCUUAAUACUCUAGGAUAGUGGACGUUACUCGCAGAAUAAGCACCCGCUAACUCUGUGCCAGCAGCCGCGGUAAUAAAGAGUGUGCGAGCGUUAAUCGGAUUUACAGGGCGUAAAGCGUGCGUAGGCGGCUUCUUAAGUCCGAUGUGAAAUCCCUGCGCUUAACUUAGGGAUUGCAUUCGGUACUGGGAAGCUAGAGUAUGGGCGGGGGUGGUAGGAAUCCCGGUGUAGCGGGGGAAUGCGUAGAGAUCUGGAGGGAUACCGAUGGGGGAGGCAGCCAUCUGGCCUAAUACUGACGCUGGGGUACGAAAGCAUGGGGAGCAAACAAG